CAGCGUUCAGCGUAAACUAACUGACAAUCUGAAUAGCAUCCGAAAUUUAUCAGAGGAGUUUAUUAUUAAUUGGUCUUCCCAUGAUAUACAGUGCUGCAGAAUUUUGAAAGCAAGGGUGAGGACCUUGGCUUGUAACUAGGCUCUGUCAUGGAUGAAGAGACUCAUCAUAGCCUUGAAUGCAUCCAAGCUAAUCAGAUCUUCCCCAGGAAGCAGCUGAUCCGGGAGGAUGAAAAUCUCCAGGUCCCGUUUCUUGAGCUUCAUGGGGAGAGUACCGAGUUCGUUGGCCGAGCAGAGGAUGCUGUCAUUGCCCUGUCCAACUACAGGCUUCACAUCAAAUUUAAGGAGUCCAUGGUGAAUGUAAGUUGUCUCUUCUGAACC